rnacentral:rRNA from 1 species
UACGAAGGGGGCGAGCGUUGUUCGGAUUUACUGGGCGUAAAGGGCGCGCAGGCGGCUCCAAAAGUCAGGCGUGAAAGCCCCGGGCUUAACCUGGGGAGGUGCGUCUGGGACUGUGGGGCUAGAGUUCGGGAGAGGAGCGUGGAAUUCCCCAGUGUAGAGGUGAAAUUCGUAGAUAUUGGGAAGAACACCGGUGGCGAAGGCGGCGCUCUGGACCGAGGACUGACGCUGAGGCGCGAAAGCGUGGGGAGCAAACAGG